UACCAGCACCCCGAGUGGUCGGGACGAUUAUUGGGCCUAAAGCAUCCGUAGCCGGUCACGCAAGUCCUCCGUUAAAUCCACCUGCUUAACAGAUGGGCUGCGGAGGAUACUACAAGGCUAGGAGGCGGAAGAGGCAAGCGGUACUCAGUGGGUAGGGGUAAAAUCCUCUGAUCCAUUGAAGACCACCAGUGGCGAAGGCGGCUUGCCAAUACGCGCUCGACGGUGAGGGAUGAAAGCUGGGGGAGCAAACCGG
rnacentral:rRNA from 1 species